CUGCUGGGUGCGGAGAGGGCCAAGGACUGGAAAUGAACGUUGGCGGGGUUAUCAGUGCGGAUCUGUCAGCAGCGAGUCGCACACUGCUUGUCCCAAGCAGCAGCAGUGAUAUACGCCUUGUUCCUUUGGGCUCACAAAAAGGAUUUCUUCCGACAAGCUAGACACUGGCAGGCUGCGGAAAGGGAAUUGAACAGAAGGAACAUUCUUAUGGUGAUGGAUUUUUACAUACACCUUCCAGCUUGUUAUCUGGGCCACCCAAUGACCGACGAAAGAUCUUCCCUCCCCACGUCUCCCAUCGCCGCUUUAAACCAAAUAAAUUUAGCUAUUAAGGGCCGAGAUGUCUGACAAAAGAUCGAAAGGUGUCUCUCUGGGAUCGCUUAAAGAAGCGGAGAAGCUGGCGGCUCUCGAAUCCCGAUAAAGAAAUUCCACGCCGGCGCCGGCCUCCCUCCUCAGCCUGCUUGCCUCCCAACACCCUGAGAUUGCGACCUCAAAGGUCCGUUGGGAUCUGUAGCUGCAAUUGAGGCAUUGUCUCAGGUCCCCUGGCCUGCGGAUGCCCAGGCAUUGGGACUCACCCUAAUCCUAACCCAGGAGCCAGGGGACCCAAAACAGUCCUGCCAAGCUUGCAGAACCAAGGUCAAUGAAACCCAAAAAUACCAUUUAAAUUUACUCCCUCCCGCUCCCCCCUUUUAGACAAAGCCUUCUAUUAUGUAUGGCAGACCGGCCUUGAACUCAUGAUCCUCAAGCCUCAGACCAGUGAGAGUAUUGGAAUUUCAAUUGUUUGUAGCCUUGUCCUACCGUGUUUUGUUUUGUUUAAUUCUCUAAUACUAAUAAAGACAAAACUAAGCCAUGCCUAUCCACCU